GAUGAACGCUGGCGGCGUGCUUAAUACAUGCAAGUCGAACGGACAGGCGCUGCUCUUGUGGGGUGCUCGUGUGGCGCACGGGUGAGUAUAACGCGAGUAAAAUGCCCCUGUCUUUGGGAUAACUCUAGGAAACUGGGGCUCUUACCGGAUAGGAGCUCCUGCUGCACGGUGGGGGUUGGUAAGUUUCGGCGGUUGGGGAUGGACUCGCGGCUUACCCGCUUGUUGGUGGGGUAGUGGCUUACCAAGGCUAUGACGGGUAGCCGGCCUGGGAGGGUGACCGGCCACAUUGGGACUGAGAGACGGCCCAGACUCCUACGGGAGGCAGCAGUGGGGAAUAUUGCACAAUGGGCGGAAGCCUGAUGCAGCAACGCCGCGUGCGUGAUAACGGCCUUCGAGUUAUAAACCUCUGUCGCCUGUGACGAAGCGUGAGUGACGGUAAUUGGUAAGAAAGCACCGGCUAACUACGUG
rnacentral:rRNA from 1 species